UACGUAGGGUGCGAGCGUUAAUCGGAAUUACUGGGCGUAAAGCGUGCGCAGGCGGUUUUGUAAGCCAGAUGUGAAAUCCCCGGGCUUAACCUGGGAAUGGCAUUUGGGACUGCAAGGCUAGAGUGUGGCAGAGGAGACUGGAAUUCCUGGUGUAGCAGUGAAAUGCGUAGAUAUCAGGAGGAAUACCGAUGGCGAAGGCAGGUCUCUGGGCUAACACUGACGCUCAUGCACGAAAGCGUGGGGAGCAAACAGG
rnacentral:rRNA from 1 species